GUCGAGAAUUUUUCUCAAUGGGGGAAACCCUGAAGGAGCGACGCCGCGUGGGGGAUGAAGGGCUUCGGCUCGUAAACCCAUGUCAUUUGUGAGCAAGUGUUAUUGUUUAAGAGAUGAUGACAUUGAUAGUAGCAAAAGAGGAAGGGACGGCUAACUCUGUGCCAGCAGCCGCGGUAAUACAGCGGUCCCAAGCGUUGUUCGGAAUAACUGGGCGUAAAGGGUGCGUAGGCGGUAUGGUAAGACUUGGGUGAAAUCUCCAUGCUUAACAUGGCGGAAGCCUGGGAGACUGCCGUGCUAGAGGAUUGGAAGGGAGACUGGAAUUCUUGGAGUAGCAGUGAAAAGCGUAGAUAUCAAGAUGAACACCAGUGGCGAAGGCGAGUCUCUGGACCAGACCUGACGCUGAGGCACGAAGGCCAGGGGAUCAAACGGGAUUAGAAACCCGGGUAGUCC
rnacentral:rRNA from 1 species